UCGAUAACGAACGAGACCUCGACCUGCUAAAUAGUUGGGUUAAUCCUCCGGGAUUGAUUGCAUACUUCUUAGAGGGACUAUCGGCGAUUUAGCCGAUGGAAGUUCGAGGCAAUAACAGGUCUGUGAUGCCCUUAGAUGUUCUGGGCCGCACGCGCGCUACACUGAUACGUUCAUCGAGCUUACAACCUUGGUUGAGAGGCCUGGGUAAUCUUUUGAAACCGUAUCGUGCUGGGGAUAGAUUAUUGUAAUUUUUAAUCUUCAACGAGGAAUUCCUAGUAAACGCUGGUCAUCAGCCAGCAUUGAUUACGUCCCUGCCCUUUGUACACACCGCCCGUCGCUAUUACCGAUUGAAUGGAUA
rnacentral:rRNA from 1 species